CUUAACCUAAAACCCUACAACCUAGACUCUACACUAUAAAAAAGAAGACAAAAGAAUAAGAAAAGGAACGAAGAAGAGGCUGGACAAAAGCUGAGAGAAAGGUUGCACAGCUUUUGGAAAGAGAACGACCCCCUCCCAACGUCUUCUCCUCCGUCAUACCCCACCCUCCUGACUUGAUCGUCUUCAACAUUUUCUUUGCCCGUUUCUGAUUUGGUUCUUCAACAGAAAUACAAAAACGACCCCCUGAUUUCAUCUCCCUCUCUCACCCGACGACUGCUCACCCAAACGACCCCUGAACUUCCGGCGUCGACUCUGUCCAAACGACCUUUACUUCGCCGGUUAUCACUCAACCAGACGAGCUCCCUCGCCGGAAAACAACACCUAAUUCACUCCUUCACUGCCUACACACCUACGCUCAGUCACUCCUCACUAUCGUCGGAAUACACA
rnacentral:lncRNA from 1 species